GACGAACGCUGGCGGCGUGCUUAACACAUGCAAGUCGAACGAUGACGACCGAGCUUGCUCGGUCUGAUUAGUGGCGAACGGGUGAGUAACACGUGAGCAACCUGCCCUUCACUCUGGGAUAACCUCGGGAAAUCGGGGCUAAUACCGGAUAUGAGCUCCUGUCGCAUGGCGGGUGUUGGAAAGUUUUUCGGUGAAGGAUGGGCUCGCGGCCUAUCAGUUUGUUGGUGAGGUAGUGGCUCACCAAGGCGAUGACGGGUAGCCGGUCUGAGAGGGCGACCGGCCACACUGGGACUGAGACACGGCCCAGACUCCUACGGGAGGCAGCAGUGGGGAAUAUUGCACAAUGGGCGAAAGCCUGAUGCAGCGACGCCGCGUGAGGGAUGACGGCCUUCGGGUUGUAAACCUCUUUCAGCAGGGAAGAAGCGAAAGUGACGGUACCUGCAGAAGAAGCGCCGGCUAACUACGUG
rnacentral:rRNA from 1 species